rnacentral:rRNA from 1 species
GACGAGCAUCACAAACGUUUAUUCGGAAUUACUGGGCUUAAAGGGUGCGUAGGCGGUGUAGCAAGUCGGGAGUGAAAUCCCGCAGCUCAACUGCGGAAUUGCUUUCGAUACUGCUGCGCUUGAGUGAGAUAGAGGUAAGCGGAACUUAGGGUGGAGCGGUGAAAUGCGUAGAUAUCCGGAGGAACACCGGUGGCGAAGGCGGCUUCCUGGACCGACACUGACGCUGAGGCGCGAAAGCUAGGGGAGCAAACGGG